UACGUAGGGGGCUAGCGUUGUCCGGAAUCAUUGGGCGUAAAGAGCUCGUAGGCGGUCUGUCGCGUCGGAUGUGAAAAUCCAGGGCUCAACCCUGGACCUGCAUUCGAUACGGGCAGACUAGAGUUCGGUAGGGGAGACUGGAAUUCCUGGUGUAGCGGUGAAAUGCGCAGAUAUCAGGAGGAACACCGGUGGCGAAGGCGGGACUCUGGGCCGAUACUGACGCUGAGGAGCGAAAGCGUGGGGAGCGAACAGG
rnacentral:rRNA from 1 species